rnacentral:tRNA from 2 species
GACUGUGUAAUUAAAAAAUAAUAUUGGUCUUGUAAACCGAAUUUAGAGAAAUCUCUCAGUCU